rnacentral:rRNA from 1 species
UGCCAGCCGCCGCGGUAAGACGGAGGUGGCAAACGUUGCUCGGAAUCACUGGGCUUAAAGGGCGUGUAGGCGGCAGAUCAAGUCGGGUGUGAAAUCCCUCGGCUCAACCGAGGAACUGCAUCCGAUACUGGUCAGCUAGAGUGCGAGAGGGGUGAGUGGAACUCCAGGUGUAGCGGUGAAAUGCGUAGAUAUCUGGAGGAACGCCGGUGGCGAAAGCGACUCACUGGCUCGCAACUGACGCUAAGGCGCGAAAGCUAGGGUAGCGAACGGGAUUAGAUA